AUAUGCUCCUCUGUUUGUGAAGCUUUUUGGUUGCUUUGAUUGUUGUUUUUCAAACCUUACUUUAAGUAGUGAAGUUCACUUUUCCUAAAUGUUUUCUAUACCCCAAAAGCUGUAACAGUUUUCUCAGUAAAUAUAAAAGACAGUAGAAAACAAAGUUAUGAUCCACUGCUGGAUAUCCACAGGUGACAACAGGCAGCCAGGUAGUAGCAGAGGGAUUCCAAGCUCUCAGUUGGGUACAUGAAAAAAGGGCUUGGGCACAGUGAAUGAGAAUUCCUUUCUAAAGUGAGGAGCAAGAUGAGAGCAGCAUUCUAAAUAGCUUCCCCAUAUUAUGCAUGGUUUGGAAUCAGCCUGGUAAAAAGGAGGCUCAAGGGAGACCUCAUCACACUAAACAGCUGCCUGAAAGGAACUUGUAGCCAGGUGGGGCAGGCUCUCCUCCCAGGACAGCAACAGGACAAGAGGAAACGGCCUCAAGUUCUGCUGGGGGAGGUUCAGGCUGGACGUCAGGAAGAAAUUCUUCCCUGGACCGCCCGUUCCAAUGCUUAACCACCCUGUCAGUGAAGUGAUGGAGUCACCAGCCCUGGAAGACUGUCUUCUGUCUAGGUGUCUUCUCCAAACUUAAUGAUUCUGUGAUUCUGUAAAACCUCAAUUCUUCCAUGUUUUUGCAUUCAGGGUUGUUCAGGAGAGUAAUUUUUAUUUUUUUUUCCCUACUACCUUACUGUUCUCACCGUAAUCACUGGAAACUCAAAAUACCAUUUCAUGGACAGAAAUCAGAUAGCAGCAGUUUGUGCUCUGGUGUUUAAGGGAUGUGAAGGGAAGAUUUACCAUUGUUUUUAUAACUUUUUCUACAGAGGUUCUUGCAACAAGACAGCCCUUUCCAGCAGCUCCUCUACUGAAAGUAGUGAAAGAAGUUAUACAACAAUCAAGACUUCUGCAAAACUAGAGGUUCUUUUUGGCUGGAACCACAAGGGAGUGAAGAAGCUCAACUCAGAGCAAAGCAUUUUGGCAGCAUCAGCAUAA
rnacentral:lncRNA from 1 species